GGAAUUUUUAAAAUUUGAAAAUCGGCCUAUUAUGAACAAGCCCUUAGUCAUUCUUUGUGAUUUUGCUAUCUUCUGCCGUUAUAACAACUUUAUUUCCUGGUAUUCGUGAGGAAACUUCAAGCAAUGGAAAACCGUUCGACUAUUUUGAGUUUAUUUUUCUAAAAUUUGAAAUUGAAACGACGAAGUUUCAUGAGGCUCCAAUGGUCAAUAACUUCUUAAGAUUUUUGAGAAUUGGGUUUUUAGAAUACAACUGAAAUGGUUUCCCAUCAAGAAAAAUCAAAGAGAAACCUUCCUCAUGCCCGCUGCUGGAAAAUCUCUUUUUUUUCACUUAAAAUUUCAUGGAUUUCCGUCUUCAAGGAAUGCAGUAACGUUCGAUGCAAGUCUCGCUUAGAUAAUUUUUCCUAUUUGGUUAUCUAAUUUAAAUGGUAUCCAAGUCAGAUGGAGUUGAUAGUAGAAAACUAAGAUUUUGGAAUGGGUUUUUUUAAACUGAAAUGGUUUCUGAUCUUGGCAAAUCAAACAGCAAAACUUCUUUAUGCACGCUGCAAGAAACCGAUUUUUUUAAAUUUGAAUCCGUAUCUUCAACGAAUGCAGUAACAUUCAAUGCAAAUUUCGCUUUGAAAAAGGCCACUUGCAAAUUUUUCUUCAAAAGACUUUGAACAACAAAGACAAACCAAACUCACCAAGCAUUUUCAGAAGACUUCGUCAUGUUCAGAAAAAAAAUGAGUUUCUAUCUCUUCUAGUUUGAAAGUGACGCACUUUUUAAUCCCGGACUGACAGAUUAAAGUAUAACGUGAAACUUUGAAAAUUCCUCAAAAGCCUCUGAGAUGCCCGAUUGAAACCAAACUUAGCGAGCAUCUCAACAAGACUCUCCAAUGUUGAGGAAUAAAAUCUUGUUGGGGAGCCACAGAUUUUUGACUUUUUAAAAUUUUUUAACGACUGCAAUAAUAUUCGAGGCAAAUCUUGCUUAGAUAAUUUUUCCCAUUUGGUUAUCUAAUUUAAAUGGUAUCCAAGUCAGGUGGAAUUGAAAAUGGAAAGCUUAUAAAUGCCGUCAGCAUAGCAUGACGUCAAACCAGUUAAUGGAAGCAGAAAUGAUAAAUAAGUCCAUAUUGAGGCUGCGUUGAAAGGUUCCGAAUACUAACCAGCCGAUGCCAACCAGUCAGACAUGUAACUUUCCAAUCGAAAUAUGGAGCACCCAGACAGUUGAUUAUUGAACAAUUUCCACCAAAAGCUGAUUGGCUAUUUUCGGAGCUGAUAUAAAAAAUGAUCCUGGAUGGAAAACCGGCUGAAAUCAUCAAUACCCAAAUAUAGGGUUAAGUGUAGAUCAGUAGGUGUGAACCAUUUAGUGUGUAAAUUCGCUGAUGAUAUUUAAAAUGCACAUGUGGGAGCCGGUGUUGGCAAAUAAAAACCUACCAAAA